rnacentral:rRNA from 1 species
GAUCAUGGCUCAGGACGAACGCUGGCGGCGUGCUUAACACAUGCAAGUCGAACGAGGAUAUAUGAGUAGAGAGCUCCGGCAGGAAAUGAAUAUAUUCGAGUGGCGGACGGGUGAGUAACGCGUGAAUGAUCUGUCCCAGACAGGGGGAUAACACUUGGAAACAGGUGCUAAUACCGCAUAAGACCACAGCAUCGCAUGGUGGAGGGGUAAAAGGAGGAAUCCGGUUUGGGGUGAGUUCGCGUCCGAUUAGAUAGUUGGUGAGGUAACGGCCCACCAAGUCGACGAUCGGUAGCCGACCUGAGAGGGUGAUCGGCCACAUUGGAACUGAGAGACGGUCCAAACUCCUACGGGAGGCAGCAGUGGGGAAUAUUGGGCAAUGGGCGAAAAAGCCUGACCCAGCAACGCCGCGUGAGUGAUGAAGGCCUUCGGGUUGUAAAGCUCUGUUAUAGGGGACGAAGGAAGUGACGGUACCCUAUAAGGAAGCCCCGGCUAACUACGUGCCAGCCGCCGC